UCCCAAAAGGCCUCAUACUAGUU
rnacentral:siRNA from 1 species